CUUUUCAUCUCUCCUGUAGCUUCUUUCAUGGGCCUUUUCAGCUUUCUUUUGACGUGCAUUUAAAUGGUGCACUUGGCUGGAUGAAGCCCAUCGAUCCUGGGUAGGCAGGAGGUUAACAGUACACUGCCUAGAAAAAGAAGCCCAAACCCUCCCCUUAUUCCCCUAUCUUUAGGCCUUGUUUGAUAGCCUGGAUAAAAUGAGAGGAGGGGUGAAAUUUCACCCGCCCUACUAAAAACGCAUCAAACAAGUUCACUCGUUUCCCGUAAAAGGGAGCGGGUGAAAUUUCACCCGCUCGACACCGUCGCAUUUCACCCCUCUUCCUCCCUCUGCAGCUCCUCCGCGUUUCAACAUUCCUGCCUAGACUUGCCGUUCGAGCUCCCCAGCUCUGUCACCUUCUUACCGUCGCACUAGAGGCGUCGCCGCCGUGACCGUCGCACCAGAGGCGUCGCCGUCCUCUGCCGGGAAGAGGGAUGCAGAGACAGGGCAGCAUCCGCCACCGCCACGGUCGCCGCUCCGCUCGUCCGUUGGUUUGGGCAUUUGUGGAGGGGAUUUUGCGUGUUUGCCUUGAUAUUGUGCUUUGCUCUUCAGAUUGCAAAAAAUGCGUUUGGAUGUUGUUAUUCAUUUGUUCAUGGCAUUCGGGCAUCUGGUCAUCUGGGCAUUUGGGCACUUGAAUUAAAACAAACGUCGUCAGUGCGCUUUCAAUGGAGAUUUUUGUUCUGUUAGUGUGUUCCUGCUUCCGAAAGCACAAGUGAAGGGUCAUGAUCCUCUAGUGGGCUAACCUGCAGUAUGUUUGCCCUGUAUCUACAUAAAAAUUCCAUUUUGUGAUGGGCAUUCAUGGAACCCUUCAUAAAAUUGAGAUGGGUGUUUCUCAGCAAGUAUUACCAAUUCUUGUUUUGUGUUGGACGUGAACGUUUUUUACAUUGCUUGAUAUCUGUACUCUUCAGCAGAUGUUGAGACUACUGCUAUCUCAGCUAGAACUUACCAAUUUUUGUUGAAUUGGGCCAAUUGGCUUUGAUUGCAUGA